rnacentral:rRNA from 1 species
GUAGGUGGCGAGCGUUGUCCGGAUUUAUUGGGUUUAAAGGGUGCGUAGGCGGCCUAUUAAGUCAGUGCUGAAAUAUCCCGGCUUAACCGGGAGGGUGGCAUUGAUACUGAUGGGCUUGAAUGAAGUUGAAGUGGGCGGAAUUGACGGUGUAGCGGUGAAAUGCUUAGAUAUCGUCAAGAACACCGAUAGUGAAGACAGCUCACUAAGCUUAUAUUGACGCUGAGGCACGAAAGUGUGGGGAUCAAACAGGAUUAGAUACCCUGGUAGUCCACACCGUAAACGUUGAUUACUCGCUGUUGGCGAUACACAGCCAGCGGCCAAGCGCAAGCGAUAAGUAAUCCACCUGGGGAGUACGCCGGCAACGGUGAA